rnacentral:tRNA from 4 species
GCAUGUAAGCCAGGGAUAAGCUAGGCGGGCCUGUAAAGCCCUACCUCGUUGGUUCGAAUCCAACUACAUGCA